GCAGUGCUAGGAGGAUUGAUUCGAUCCAAGGAAGAUGAAGACAAUCGGUAUAUGUAUGUUGCUGUUGCGGCUGCUGUCUUGUGCAACGUGGUUCCUGCAGGUGCAGGUUAAUAAGAUUCUGACUGUGGCUGGUUUCCAUGAUCCUUAAGUCCUCUAUAUAUAUUCUGUACUAGUACCCCCUCUGUAAACUAAUAUAAGAUCAUUCAGAUAACUAGUCAUCUAAAAUUGAUGUAUGUUUGGGUUUGAGACAUUCGAGUGUUUGCUCUUGGUUUGUAAUAGUAUUAAUGCUGCUAUAUUGCUGACCGUGCGGUCGCUAGUCGGGUUGCUAUUAGCUUGUUAUAGGCUUGAAUUCCAAUGAAAAAAAAAACAUGUGCUUGUUCUAAAAUUGAUGUAUGUUUGAGCUCAAGAGAUUUGACUGUUUGCUCUUAGUUUGUAACAAUAUAAAUACUGCUAGAUUGCUGACCAUGUGGUGGCUAGUCAGGUUGCUAUUAACUUCGUUAUAGGCUUGAAUUUCAAUGAAACAAAUACAUGUGCUUGUUUAGUUUCAUUUGCCCAUAUGCUUAGGUCUUGGAUACAACAUUCGAUCAAUACGGUCAGAUCUUCUUGAUAAAAGGAGGAAAAGGGCUCUGUUCC
rnacentral:lncRNA from 1 species